CAUAACUAAUUUCGUAUGCGUGAUUGAGAAAUAGUGAGUAGCUUGAAUCAAAUAAUUCCCUGUUCUUACUAUUUCGUAAGUGCCAACAAGUACUGAUAAAAAAACUUUCUCUGAUCAUCAUUUUCAUUCAUUCUAAUCUUUUUUCAGUAACGUUAUUCUAGAACCAUUGUUUGUGCUCCGCAUUCUUUUUGAGAUAAGACUAAUACGCUACUUAUUUGCAUUCCUAGCUUGGUAGUACCCAUUUUGUUAGAAAUUCAGAAUCAAUAUAAACUGUUGCUCAACAAGUAGCAAGUACAGAAGCAUGGUUAUUUCUAUCUUAAGAUAUUCUCCUUUCUACUUUUCUGUCACUAUUGAAAUAAACAAGAAGAUUGUGUGCGUUUUAUGUUAUCUGCAAGAACAAGAAGAAGGUCAAUGAAACUAAAAUCAGAGUAACAGACAAACAGUGAUGAGAGUAGUUACAAUUACCCUUGGACAUAAGUGGUGCACGCACAUAGCUGUGUGGAUGUCAUUUAACUAACACUGAUAUCCAAUUCUUCCAAUCCUUAUUGCAUAGUUAUCAUCCAAAUC
rnacentral:lncRNA from 1 species